AGCCAUGCUGUGGAAGCCAUCCCACAUAUGAGGUAGAGGAAGAUGGGCACAGAUGUUAGCUCAGGGCCAGUCUUCCUCAGCAAAAACAGGGGGAUUGGCAGGAGUUAGCUCAGGGCUAAUCUUCCUCAAAAAAAAAAAAAAAGUAGGAGGGAGUAAGGAGAAAUAAACACUCAAACUUCUCUCUCUUCUCAUCCCCUGUUCUCCUGCUACUUUCUUCCAACGGCUUAACCCAACAAAAAUUCAGAGGACAUGGAAGCCUGCGUGAUGAAUUCUAUUUUGGUCAGCUUCUACGGUCACUGGGGAGGAGAGAGAAAGAAGGUCCAGUGGUUGAUGAUUGCUAUGUGGAUAUCAACUUUGAGUUGGGAUCUCAGCCUGUUUCUUUCCCUUCUUUUCACAAUCUCAAGAUGGAUGCAGCAGUUAUGGGCAUCAUCUCCUCUCAAGACCUCAUAAAAGUCAGAAAUUGGAAAAUCAUCAUGGAUGAAGUAGAGAGAAGAGUUCUCCAGAGCAUUUCAAACAGCCAAGCAGUGAGGCCUUACUGCACAUGGCCAAACAGGAGUCAAGAAUCAGAUAGUUAUAAAUCGAGGAACCACGUCCAAUAUCAGACAACAGGGUGUGGUGGUGAAAACUGGGCUGACAGAUGUGCAGGACGGGUUCAAGGACACACAAGUUGGGGGCACGAUUGGAUCCUAGCUUGCACCCUGAUGCCACUUGUCCUCUUCUGCCAUCUCCUCUGGAAGCUGUGCCCAGGCUUCAGGAAAGAGACUUGGAGGCAGAAUAUCAAUUUCCUAGUCAGGGAGUUUUUGAUUUGGCCGUGAAAUAGAGGCUUGUGCUCCCUCAAUAUCAUUUCUUGACUUUUUUUCUUGUAAUUUUAGGAGUUUUUUUCCCCAAGUCAUCUCCAGACCUGUAAUCUCCCCAACUGCUUGUCCACAAUCACUCCAGCUCUCCACAGGAGGGAAUCAUCUGUGGAGUGGCUGCCAAAAAUCAAGAAUAUUUUUCAUAACAUGCCUCUGUCAGGACAGAGCUCCAGACCCCACGCUCCCCACUCUCCGCCCUCUGCUUUGGAUUCUUACAGCAUCUUUCUCUCUAUACUCGGGUGUCACUCAGUGUUGGAUUUGUGUGCUGUUAGCUUCUUCCUCUCCCCUCCGCCUUCUUCUUUCCUUACUCCCUCCCUCUCCCCGAUAAGCAGACAUU
rnacentral:lncRNA from 1 species